rnacentral:lncRNA from 1 species
AGAUCAAUUAUUUCAAAAGGGUGUUUUGCUACUUCUUCUCUCUCCCCUCAUUUAGAAGCUGAAUGCACCAUUAAUUUUGGUAAAUCCAUGGGUAUCGUCUGGGGAUGAAGGGCUCCUAAUUGAUGAUUUGGCUGAAAAAAUAUCCAAAGAUAUAGCUUGUUGCGUCAACUACGGUUGGAGUAGCUGUUCUGUUUCGAAUCUGAAAUUAGAUUUGGCAUUUAAAGUUUUUGGGGUUUGGCUAUUUUGGAAUGGGAUGAAGUGGUUGUUUUUGGUGUUUCUAGAGGUAUUUUUAUGUACGGAAUAUGGAUUUUAUAAGAGUUUCAUGUUGGGCCAAUUUCAGUUGUGGAUUAUGUUCCUCUGUUGCUUCUCUUCUUUGAAUCUUUUUUCUUUCCUUUAUACCAUUUAUGCACCUUGUGUCAAUCUAAUUAGUUAAGCC